UCUCAAUUGUUUGUGGGCUUAAGAAUACUGGUUAAAAUGUACUUUCUUGAAUCCUACCUCCAGAAAUUCUGAUUCCACAGGUCUAGGGUGCAGUCCAGGGAUCUGCAUUUUUAAUAAGCAUCCCAGGGAAUUUAGAGAAA
rnacentral:miRNA from 10 species